UAGAGACAAGGCAGAAAGGAUUGUUUUAAAAGAAGUUUAUGUGGAAAGGGCGUUUUGUGCAUCAUGAUACAUUGCCCUUACUUUCACGUUAUGCUGCAUUUAUACAACGUUUUAGAAUCAGACUGCAGUCCAGAUUCAGGAAGACCAAACCACAACUGGAAUGAGUAAAACACAUGAAUCAGAGGAAAAAAGGAAGGCACAGGAGAAUAUGAUCUGUCCCAGAACCAUUGGAAUAUAGCAAGACAAUAAAGAAACUCCAGGGCCUCCGAUGCCCUAUGUUCACACUGCCCCCAGUCAAGAUUAUUUGUAUAUUUAACUCCUUCUCACUUUUGCCAAAACUGUUCACCCUAAAGGAUUCCGCUUUGAA